GAUGAACGCUGGCGGCGUGCCUAAUACAUGCAAGUCGAGCGAACAGACGAGGAGCUUGCUCCUCUGACGUUAGCGGCGGACCCCCGAGUAACACGUGGAUAACCUACCUAUAAGACUGGGAUAACUUCGGGAAACCGGAGCUAAUACCGGAUAAUAUAUUGAACCGCAUGGUUCAAUAGUGAAAGACGGUUUUGCUGUCACUUAUAGAUGGAUCCGCGCCGCAUUAGCUAGUUGGUAAGGUAACGGCUUACCAAGGCGACGAUGCGUAGCCGACCUGAGAGGGUGAUCGGCCACACUGGAACUGAGACACGGUCCAGACUCCUACGGGAGGCAGCAGUAGGGAAUCUUCCGCAAUGGGCGAAAGCCUGACGGAGCAACGCCGCGUGAGUGAUGAAGGUCUUCGGAUCGUAAAACUCUGUUAUUAGGGAAGAACAAAUGUGUAAGUAACUAUGCACGUCUUGACGGUACCUAAUCAGAAAGCCACGGCUAACUACGUG
rnacentral:rRNA from 1 species